GUGUGUAUGUCUGUGUGUGUGUGUAUGUCAGUGUGUCUGUGUGUGUAUGUCAGUAUGUCUGUCAUAGACACACACAGACACACACAGACAUACUGACAUACAUACACAAACAGACAU